GCGAGAUCUCCGGUCUUGUUCUCCUGCUCGGGCUCCGUGAGGAGUCGCCCCUGAACUUCCGGAGCCUCCAUCAUGUGUUUUUCAUACUUUCUGACGGACCUGAGUGUCAGUGUGAACUUUACUGAACACGAUCCACCGUGACCAGGCAGCUUUUGAUGACAUGGAUCAACCCUCGUGUUCCUGAUCAACUAAAGUCUCCACGUUUCAUCUGGAUUAAAAGGUAUGUGGCCCUGAGGUCCCCACGCUGCAGUCACUGCCUGCAGGAGGAAGCACAGAGAAAAGAUGUAACGGCAGUUAAGUCCAUGUGAAGACGAGCUGGUCCUGAGACGACAUGAAAUGAUCCUCCGUGGUGUAACCGGUGGUGAAAGGAGAGACGGCAGCUUUGAACUGAUUCAGAAGUCGCACAGGAAAAUACAUUUUAAAAACCGUGUUUAUUUAAAAAGUAAUGUAUAAAAAGUGUCAUGGCACAUUCAAGUAUUCAACAUAAUUAAGAGUAACAAUGAUCCUCUUAAAGAUGCCCUGUACGCAUUGUCCAAUCUGAGUUGAAGGACGAUCUGUUCUUCUUUAAAUUUUCUAGAAAGAUGUUCUCCUCCUGGAGGUAUUCUCGGUCCUGUGGACAGAAACAAACAUGUAUGGUCUUGGGUAGAAGUUUGAAAAUGAGCCUCAGCACUUUACUGUAUUGAUAUUUACAAUAAAAACCUUGUACAGUAAAAA